UUGGACUGAAGGGAGCUCUA
rnacentral:miRNA from 1 species